ACAUGAACAUGUAAUCAUUUAUCUGUGUAAUAUGUGGAUAGUUACAAAAAUUUCGGGAAUGUGGAAAUAUUAAAAUAUUUUUUUUAAUUUAUACAACGUGGCUUUUUUGGAAGAUAACGAUUCGAGGUUCCACCAAAAAAGUCCUAUUUGAUUUGUAAAUAUGACGUUUCAAUGGUUUCCGUAAGCAUGAUGUCUACAUCAUAGGUCUACAUUUACACUUAGCAACACGUCUGGGCAUAUUUGAAAUUAAAUUGACAAUGUCAUCUUGAGGCAACUCGUCCUAUGCUAUCUGAAGCUGCUUUCGUAGCUCAGUCUUGGGAGAAUGAGGUAAUCGACGCAGUCUUCUGUUCAUCAUAUCCCAGACAUGUUCGAUUGGUGACAAGUCGGGUGAUCUUGCAAGCUAAGAAGCUGGUGAAGUAACUGCAAAACAACUUGCUCCGGCUCCAAGACAGAAGUAAUAUAGCCCUGUGCAGUCAUUGUUUCAUGAGUAACGACUAAAGGUGAUCUGCCUCCGUGGUAAAAACCCCCCAAAUCAUUAUCCCAGGUGUAACUGCUGUAUGGCGACAUCGAACAAAUUGCAAAUUUUGUCUUUGGCCUUUAGGACAUCUUACACGGGUUCCUCCGUCAGAGUGCCACAAAUAAAAGCCGCAUUGGUGGCUGAAGGUAAUUGUGUGCCAUUCUUGGUCACAUUAUUGUCUUUCUUAACACCAUGGUUGUCUGUUCCCGUGUUAAGGGAAUACGAAAAUUUGGACUGUAUGAGCGAAACCCAAAUGAGCGUAUUCGGCGAUAAGUUGUACGUAUGGAGACUCUAUGUGCAAUACCUUUCCUCCAAUAAAUGUCAAUUGCCCGUGUUGGUUCGUGAGGAUCUUGUAUGGCAUUUCGUCGUAGGAUACAAUCUUCACGCGACCUUGUGUCACUCAUGGGACGUCCAUUGCCUCGGCGACGACCUCGGAGAUUCUUCGCGUCCCAAUCACUCCAAAUUAGAGCCACUGUCGAGUGAAUCCGACGCAAUUUCCCGGAAAAGCAUGCCAGCUUCAUGCAUCCCAACAAGUCGUCCCUUUUCGAAGGGGGUUAGUUUCCCGAUAACCGGGCUGUACCGAAGGAACCAAAAAGUGACAAAAAGCUGAUAAUAUACGGAUAACUUUUUUCUUAGCUUACAGAUCGGCUUCAAAAUGUAAUCAUAUGCUUCUCUGUGAAAAACAAUAAUGUUCAUAAAAUUUUAGCAUUUCACGCGUGUGGCCUUAGGGUGGUUCAUUUUUUUUAACGCCGUGUAGUUAAUAAAUUAACAGGUUGACUGCCGUGGUCAGGUUAGGUCAAUUUAUUUAACUUUUUUUACCUUUUUCUGCAGAAUGGACAAGACUUCUAUAAAAUUAAGAAUUAAGAAGAAAGCAGAAAAUGGUAGUUUAAUAAAAAGCAAAUACAACAAAUCUUAAUAUUUUGUAAUCGUAUCAUCUCCUUGUAAUACUUCGUUUAAGGUUGAACUAUACUCAGAACGUCUGAAGAGGAGCUGUUCAAGCAAGCGCGUGAACGCAAAAUUUGAAAUUGGAUUUUUAAGAAAAGUAAUAAACAAAAUGCUUUCUUUACAAUUGUAUGUUGUUCCUAAAUUCAGUCACUACCUCACAGGUCAGUUUGUAUUUAAUUUUAAGUAUUUGUAACCGAGUUUAAGCGGGUUAAAAAGUCGAUUUAAUUUUGUUUGAAAAAAAUAUGAUGACUUCUUUAGGACCUUAGCAACAAUAUACAUAAAUUUGAAAAAAAUUGUUAGUGUCAUUUAAAAAUAAAAUGAAAAAAACCUCAAUUUUUAGCCAUUUUAUUUUUUCAUUAAAAAAUGGUACUAUGUUUUUUUAUAAUUUGUUGUAUAGGUCUUGUAUAUGACUUACUUGUAAUACUAUAUUUAUAUCAUGCCAUUUGAACUCUAGGUUUUUCCAUAAAAACAUUAAGAUUAUUACUAUGUUUACCCCGUUAUAACGUGGUUACAAAUAUUUAAAUCGAGAUAAGAAAUGAUCUGUGAGGUAAUAAGUGAACCUAGGAAUAUCACCCAAUUGUAAAAAAACUAUUAAACUAUAUUGUGUCUCUACUACACUACUACUCAACGAUUACUUCUUGACUAUGUGGCAAUAUUUGGAUGUCCUAAAACUAAUUACGCUGUCAGCGUUAAGCAAUAAUUAAUUCUAGAACAUUCCUUUUUGGUCUUCCACUACAUCUCCCCCGAGAGAAAAAAAAAAGAAUUUUCUUUCGGUAACUGAAGAUUCUUUUUUCCUCUACGAAAGUAAUUGAUUUUACAGCACUAUAUUAAACCUAACCUUAACGUUAUCUACUCUUGUACUUAUUUUUUUAUUUAAAACACUGCUUAUUCGUGUAAUUUUCUUUUUCUUCAUUAUUUUCGAAACCUACUAUCCACCUAUUCGCGUAUUUGAGCCAAUUCUUAAUAUUUGAACCAGUCCAUGGAAUUGCUACUUAAUGUCAUUUUAAUCAUUUUAAUUACUACACGACUUUACAUUUAAUUAACUAUGUACAAAAGGGUUUAGUUCGAUUUUUAUGAACAAUUAUUUCUUUAUUUUUUUUUCAAAAUUUUUACAUUUGGAGACAAAUCUUCUAGUACUAUAUGGUCCGUCAAAAAUUGCACUUAAUUUAUCACCUGUCUCACUUUUUACAAGCACUAAAUUGUCUUUGCGAUACACUACCAGGUGAGCACUUUUAUCAUAGUUUAUUUGUCUGACAGUCUUACUUGUACUAUUUGGAUAAAGGUUAUAGAAAAAGAGUUUACAUAUUAGGAUAUCAUGUGAUACACAGUCAAACGCUUUACUAAGAUCUAAAAAUGAAUUUAUGUGGACACCUCUCUCUUCAAAGCAUAGAAUAAUAUUUUAUACUAAAGACCUAACUGCAUCUGACGUUGACAUACCUUUGCGAAAACCAAAUUGUUGGGAUGAAAGUAGAUCAUCUUUAUGCAAGAAGUGAACAAUUUGCCGUAGCAAUAAUUUUUCAAAAAUUUUUGACACUAUGUGUAGUAGAGAAAUCGGCCUAUAGUUAUUAACAUCAUGCACAUUGCCUUUUUUAAAAAUGGGUGUUGUAAUAAUUGUUGCCUUUAGACAAUCAGGAAAAAUGUUACUUUAAACGCAUACAUUAAACAUUUUUGUGAAAGGAGAAAUUAAAAAAUCUUUAACAGUUUUUAUAAUUAUUAAAUUAAGGCCAUAUAUGUCUUUGUUGUCGGGAUUUGUUAAGGAAUCAAAAGCUUCUCUACUUGAGUAGGAGAUACUGUUCCAAAAAAAAAUAAUGAUUUGUGUUAACAUUUUUCAUGAUUUGAAUGGGAUUAUAUGGAAGGGGUGGGAGUAAAUUUUUAAUGUUUUCCGAAAUAUUAGAAAAAAAAAAUUGACAAAAUCAUGAGGUGAUAUCUGGGGAAUAACUCUAUUUGUUUUAGGUUUCUGAUUAAUUAAAUUCCACAUGGAUCUACGAUUUCUAAAAUUUUAUGGUACAAAUUUGGAAUUCACUUUAAUUUUUCAUUUUUAAUUGCAUCAUUGUAUUUUUUCUUUUAUUAUUAUUUAUUUUAUUAUUUAACAAUUGUUUUGAUUCCAAAGUUUCGUGCAGCUUAUAAGCGUUAUGCAAGAACAUUAACGUUUCUCUCAUCUUUUUUUAAUUUUGGACUAAACCACUUGGUAGCAGAAAUUUUGGAACCAUUAUAUUUUUUCUGGAAGCGCCGAGUAAAAAUUAUGCAGAAUGUUGUUAAGAAACAUGGUGAAUGUGUUAUUAGGAUCUAUAUCAGAGUCUACACAUUGCUAAUUUACCUUACUAAGCAAGUUAAAAAAGAUAAAUGUACCAUUUUCACUAAGUUUAAAAAUUAUUCCCAAAUGAUCAGUGAUAGGUAAUUGGACUGGACUGAUUGAUGUAAAGAAUCUCUUAUCAAUGUUGGUAAAUAUAUGUAUUAUCAAGACAUGAGGCACUCCUAGUUGGAAAGUUAACUAACUGGAAAACAAACCAAAACUUUUAAAUAGGUCACAUACUAAUGUUUCACAACAUUUACACCUUUUUUUUCUUGUAGUCUAUGAGUGUAAAUAAUUCGUUUAGUACAUCAAUAAACUUUCUGAUGUCACCUUGGGAUGAACGAUACACAGUAACAAGGAUUAAAUUAUUUUUUACAAUUAAAGUCGCCUAAAGUUCGCAAUUCAUUUCAGAAGAUAGUUUAGUUACCUUCUGAAGGUCUUUAUACUCCACUUCAGAUUUCAAAAGGUGCAUAACACCUCCAUGAAUAUGGUUUUCCCUGGCCAAAUACUGGGUGAGUCUAAAUUCCUUCUACUCUGUAAACUGGAGAGUCUUCAGACUAUUUCGCAACAUUACUUAAAUUCCAUUUUGGGCGAUACGUCCACAUGAGGGCAAAAAUGUUAUGUAAAGUUUAAGCACAAAAGAUGAGUACGCCACUGGUAACUACAUUUAAAAGAAUCGAGAAAUGAAAAACUUAUCGC